rfam:Schistosoma curassoni strain Dakar, Senegal genome assembly, scaffold: SCTD_scaffold0005302
AUCCAGCUGAUGAGUCCCAAACAGGAUGAAACGUGCGGCCUAGAU